AGUCCAGUUCCAACCCGAAGGACCGCGGGUACAGUCCGACCCGAACUGACGACGUCGGAGGGUAUAACCCCACCCGCUCCGCAGCGCCAGUCCAGCACUCGCUCCGGUGGCUGUACUCGGCCGGUCGCGGCGGACUUCGAUCGGCGACUCGCAGGGCCGACGACCGACCGUUCCUGCUCCGUCGUCUCGCUCCGGGUAAAGCGGUUUGAAGUCGUCGAGUAUGAAUAGGACUCUGAAAAAGGAGGGCCAUGGCACAGCAAGAGAUAAUGUGGUUUGGACAAGCGAAAUGGACAAUGUGUUGAUAGAUGGAUUGUUAGAGGAACAAAGAAAAGGCAAUCGUCGUGAUGGCAUGUUUCGCAGUGAGCUUACCAUAAUACCGUGAAAACCUUGCAGAGCUCCUUUGGCCCAUUUAUUCAGAAAUCUAAUUUAAAGAAUAGAACUAAGACAUUGAAGAAGUAUUUUGCCGAGUUUAGUAAUACAUUUCAUGGUUGGAGCUACUGUACUUGGAAUGCCAACAUGAAGAUGUUUGAUGCUCUGGACAAAGCUUGGGAGAAGUUACUUAUUCAAGAAUAUGACAACUGCGUGUAUUUCAGGAGAGACCCAAAACAAGAAGGUGGAGGUGAUAGCCUAUUCAAAGUUACGACCAACUUUAUGUACUUCAUGCACAGGAUAGCGUGAUGGGUGAGCAUGCUGAAAAACUAGAGAGAGAGAGUUUGUAGAGGAGAGGCUUCCCCACAACUUGAUUCAAAUGACUCACAGUCCCAGGAUAAUAAUCUCAUGGCCCCCGAUGAAAUUUAAUUGGAGGAUUGCGAUGCUCUUUGCUGGAGGCAAUCAGAAUGGCUUCACUCCCGUUAUGUGACUACUAAUAAUCCUCAUGAGGGGGCAUUUUCUGGUUUCUCAAAGCAGAAGGCCAUGGAGCUGGACGUAUUUGAGAGGCCUUUUGCACAGGAAUGGAAAGAGUCACAGACGCCCUAGAAAAGGUGAAUGUGAUAGCUGAAAAGUUUCUUGGAAAUUUUAAGAGUGGCUACCGAAGAGGAGAUAUACAGCAAGCUCAAACUGAUAGGAGUGCACCCAAAUUUUCUGGUGGAUACUUAUAUUCUUGCUGGCAAUCCAACAGCAACCAGCACAAUUUUUUACGCUCUCUUCGCUUGGUGCUUGGAAUUGCUGACGAAGAUCAUGGAUUAUCGCACUAUUGUAGUUACAUGACAAACGGAGCUGAAGGAAUGUAGGUUUUGCUGGCCAAUGUUGGAUCAUAUUUAUAGCCAUUACUUGUCAAUAACAUCUGUACUCUCUUAUUGGCCCAUGCGAGGGGGCACUUUUGAAAUGAGCACCCUGUGUACAUUUGGUUCUGGUGGUGUUGCUAAGAUGGUUUGUUUACAUUGCAAGGUUUUGGUUUUUGGAUAAGGUUUACAAGGUAAAUCAAACUUUGCCAAGAUAAGGUUAAUGUUUAUGUUUACUGAGAUUUGAUGUUUA